rnacentral:rRNA from 1 species
GACGAACGCUGGCGGCGUGCUUAAUACAUGCAAGUCGAACGGAUAAGCAGAGCUUUCUCUGUGCAUCAGUGGCGAACGGGUGAGUAACACAUGAGUAACCUACCCUUGACUCUGAGUUAAGCGUUUUAAACAACGUCUAAUACUGGAUACGACGACCAAAGACCUCUUCUGUUUGUUAGAAGAAUAUUGUUCAGGGCUGGAUUCUCGGCCUAUCAGCUUGGUGGUAAGGUAAUGGUAAGCCAAGGCGAAGCCAGGUAGCCGGCCUGAGAGUGAGACCGGCCACAAUGGGCCUGAGGCAGGGCGCAGAAUCCUACGGGAGGCAGCAGUGGAGAAUAUUGCGCAACGGGCGCAAGCCUGAUGCAGCAAUGCCGCGUGCGGAAUGACGGCUUUUGGGUUGUAAACAAAUUUUUGUAGGGCAGAAGACAACGUGACGGUACCUGAAGAAAAAGCCACGGCUAACUACGUG